rnacentral:misc_RNA from 1 species
UGUCAAGAACAGAUUCUCUUCUUCCCUGUUUUCUAUCUCUCUUCUUUUCUUCAGCUGUAACUCUGAAUUAUUGAGAAUUAGUUCUCUCUUUUCAUAAGUCUCAGUUCAUUGUUCCUCUUUGUUCUAUAUCACCUAUUUCUUAAAAUUCUUGGAAUUUUUAUUAUUCCUUCAUGUUUUCCUAUCCUUGUUUCUCUAGAACCAAAUUCUUCUCAAAAUUCUAGAGAUAUCAAGAAAGUUACUAAAUUGUUUUCUCUCAAUUUCUCUCUUUCUUUCUGUAACUGUCAGGAACAGAUUCUCUUCUUCUCUGUUUUCUAUCUCUCUUCUUUUCUUCAGCUGUAACUCUGAAUUAUUGAGAAUUAGUUCUCUCUUUUCAUAAGUCUCAGUUCAUUGUUCCUCUUUGUUCUAUAUCACCUAUUUCUUAAAAUUCUUGGAAUUUUUAUUAUUCCUUCAUGUUUUCCUAUCCUUGUUUCUCUAGAACCAAAUUCUUCUCAAAAUUCUAGAGAUAUCAAGAAAGUUACUAAAUUGUUUUCUCUCAAUUUCUCUCUUUCUUUCUGUAACUGUCAGGAACAGAUUCUCUUCUUCU